rnacentral:lncRNA from 1 species
GCCCCUAGCGCAGACGGCGGAGAGCAGAGAGGGAGCGCGCCUUGGCUCGCUGGCCUUGGCGGCGGCUCCUCAGGAGAGCUGGGGCGCCCACGAGAGGAUCCCUCACCCGGGUCUCUCCUCAGGGAUGACAUCAUCCGUCCACCUCCUUGUCUUCAAGGACCACCUCCUCUCCAUGCUGAGCUGCUGCCAAGGGGCCUGCUGCCCAUCUACACCUCACGAGGGCACUAGGAGCACGGUUUCCUGGAUCCCACCAACAUACAAAGCAGCCACUCACUGACCCCCAGGACCAGGAUGGCAAAGGAUGAAGAGGACCGGAACUGACCAGCCAGCUGUCCCUCUUACCUAAAGACUUAAACCAAUGCCCUAGUGAGGGGGCAUUGGGCAUUAAGCCCUGACCUUUGCUAUGCUCAUACUUUGACUCUAUGAGUACUUUCCUAUAAGUCUUUGCUUGUGUUCACCUGCUAGCAAACUGGAGUGUUUCCCUCCCCAAGGGGGUGUCAGUCUUUGUCGACUGACUCUGUCAUCACCCUUAUGAUGUCCUGAAUGGAAGGAUCCCUUUGGGAAAUUCUCAGGAGGGGGACCUGGGCCAAGGGCUUGGCCAGCAUCCUGCUGGCAACUCCAAGGCCCUGGGUGGGCUUCUGGAAUGAGCAUGCUACUGAAUCACCAAAGGCACGCCCGACCUCUCUGAAGAUCUUCCUAUCCUUUUCUGGGGGAAUGGGGUCGAUGAGAGCAACCUCCUAGGGUUGUUGUGAGAAUUAAAUGAGAUAAAAGAGGCCUCAGGCAGGAUCUGGCAUAGAGGAGGUGAUCAGCAAAUGUUUGUUGAAAAGGUUUGACAGCCAAGCUUCUUGAAAGGCCUGUCUACACUUGCUGUCUUCCUUCCUCACCUCCAAUUUCCUCUUCAACCCACUGCUUCCUGACUCGCUCUACUCCGUGGAAGCACGCUCACAAAGGCACGUGGGCCGUGGCCCGGCUGGGUCGGCUGAAGAACUGCGGAUGGAAGCUGCGGAAGAGGCCCUGAUGGGGCCCACCAUCCCGGACCCAAGUCUUCUUCCUGGCGGGCCUCUCGUCUCCUUCCUGGUUUGGGCGGAAGCCAUCACCUGGAUGCCUACGUGGGAAGGGACCUCGAAUGUGGGACCCCAGCCCCUCUCCAGCUCGAAAUCCCUCCACAGCCACGGGGACACCCUGCACCUAUUCCCACGGGACAGGCUGGACCCAGAGACUCUGGACCCGGGGCCUCCCCUUGAGUAGAGACCCGCCCUCUGACUGAUGGACGCCGCUGACCUGGGGUCAGACCCGUGGGCUGGACCCCUGCCCACCCCGCAGGAACCCUGAGGCCUAGGGGAGCUGUUGAGCCUUCAGUGUCUGCAUGUGGGAAGUGGGCUCCUUCACCUACCUCACAGGGCUGUUGUGAGGGGCGCUGUGAUGCGGUUCCAAAGCACAGGGCUUGGCGCACCCCACUGUGCUCUCAAUAAAUGUGUUUCCUGUCUUAACAAAA